GCAGUUUAGUUGUGUCUCUUGACAUGGGCAGAGUUUCUCUUGCCCUUAAAGUCUUACUUUCCACUUCUAAAUACCUUCCAAGAUGUUUUCCUCCACAAACACAAUAUCUUCCUUAAAAGAUAGACCCUGCAUCAGUUGUUAAGCUAACACAUCUUUCUCCUCACUACAAAUGUAUCACUAUUGAAUUUCUCUCCACAAGUGUGAAGAUGGCUGGAGUAGAAAUUCUGGCAUUGCUUCUCAUCACCAGAAGGAAAAAUUCAGAGAAACAGCCCGACCACCCACCCUGACAAAUGCCUGAGGCCCACAUGCAGCCUGCAAAACUGCAAACAUCACUGCCCACCACAGACCACGGAAGCAAGAAGCCUGUUUCCUGUUACUUGCCACCACUCAGCAAUGCCCACCCCAUGUGUAUAGAGGUCCAGAAUGCUCAAAAUUGUUCUUCUGCUGCUGCAACAUUGGAGCCUUCCAUCAUCUCAGACACAUGCUUUUAUAAACCAAUAACAAAGGAUCAACUUUCUUCUAGGUCUGAAUUGAAUACUGUGAGGCUAAAGUGUCUUAACUCAUUGAGGGGGUGGAAAAUAUUAAACCAACUAAGCCUUACCUAAUUACAAUGCCCUGCUGCUGCUCAUCUCCCUUUAUUCGUUUGUACUCAUACUCAAAAGAGGUUGUGUUUUUUUCCCUUCAUUCAAUAACGAUUUUCCUUGAUUCUUAGAUAAGUCCAUUCCAUAAUGUACUCCUUAACUGUUCUGAAUUUCUUUCAGAGAAAAACUGGAAAAGACAUUAAAUCAUGUUGAAAUAUUUGACUGACUUUCAUCUAGGAAAAAAUAUAAAGUUAAAUCUCUACACUAAAAUAUAAACAAAAUAAAAAGAAAUUUCAGUAAGACCAAAACAUUUACUUUUAAAAACCUAUAUCAUGUUAUAUGUAUAACUGAGGAAUGUAAUCAUAAUUUUGAUUUGUAGAACUGAAGACAAUAUCAAGUAACCCUCAAAAUGUAAAUUCAAGAAACAAGGUAGUUACGUUAGCCUGCAUUAAAAUAAAAAUAUCUGUGUGACAAUAUAUGCUGUAGAGCAAAUUAAAAAACAAGUGAAAAGGUUGGGUAAAUAUUUGCAAUACAUAUUGAUACGGUUUGGAUUUGUGUCCCUGCCCAAAUCUUAUGGCAAAUUGGAGGAGGGGCCUGGUGGGAGGUGAUUGGAUCAUAGGAGCGGAUUUCCCCCUUGCUGUUCUCAUGAUAGUGAGUGAGUUCUCACAAUAUCUGAUGGAUUAAAAGUGUGUGCACCUCCCCUCUUGCACUUUCUCUCCAGUCACCAUGUGAAGUUCCUUGCUUCCCCUUCUGCCAUGAUUGUAAGUUUCCUGAGGCCUCCCAGUCAUGCUUCUUAUUAAGCCUGUGGAAUUGUGAGUCAAUUAAGCCUUUUUUAUUCAUAAAUUAUCCAGUCUCAGGUAGAUCUUUAUAGAGUGUGAAAACAGACUAAUGC